rnacentral:rRNA from 1 species
UACAGAGGUCUCGAGCGUUAGGCGGAAUCACUGGGCUUAAAGCGUGUGUAGGCGGAUCGGUAAGUACCUUGUGAAAUCCCACAGCUUAACUGUGGAAACUGCUUGGUAUACUGCCAGUCUUGAGCCAGCUAGGGGCUAACCGGAACAAAUGGUGGAGCGGUGAAAUGCGUAGAUAUCAAUUUGGAACGCCAAUGGUGAAAACAGGUAGCUGGGG